GAACUCCUGACCUCAAGUCAUCUGCCUGCCUCAGCCUCUCAAAGCACUGGGAUUACAGGCAUGAGCCGUCGCACCCCACCUUGAUAAUUCCUCUUGAAGCGCUACUGGCUACACUCCUGUCAGAUGUCUUCUGAUGUACCUGUGCAAGAAUUUCUCCUGGGUAUAUAUCCAAGAGUCGAAUAUCUGGGGUGUAAAUAGUCCCAUCAUGGUGAUGUCAAGCCCCAAACAUGAUGUCAUGAUGAGCCACCUAAGAAGGUUCAAAGAAAAAGGAGAAGAGAGUCUGGAAUUGAGUUUUGAACACUCCAACAUUUCCAGGCUUGGCAGAAGAGAAGUCAGCAAAGGAGACAGAAGGUGCUGCCAGAGGAGGAAGAGGAGAAUCAGCAGAGUGUGCUGUCCAAAGUGCCAGGGAAGAGGGUUUCAGGCGGAGGAGGAAGUGUCAAGAAAGUUGAACGUUUCUGAGAGAUUGGUAGAUUAGCUCCCAGGGCAGUCCCGCAGCACGAGGUCACCUGUAAUCCUCCCGGAUCAGACACGGUGCCAACCCAGGUGCACCCACAACCCUUGCAUGGCAGCAUCUGUCAUCCUGGUCACUCAACUGCCUUCUGUCCUUCUGGUAAGAACAUCCCGCCCCUGUGGAAAACAGCCUGUCCUUCCUCCAGGCAGGUGGCUCCAAUCUCAAUCAUGGCACCUCGAGAAACUACGGGUGAUCAUGGCCAAGCUCAGCCAAGGCAGAGCCAUUCUUCAGGAUUUAUAAGUGCAGUGCUCCACCGAAACAGGGAAACACUGCUCUCUUUUCCUCUGAUACCAUUAAACUGACAUGACAUCAGACUGAAGUGGCCUUUGGCAAUGGAAAAAGCCUGUCUGAAGUAGAAGCCGAAAUGAGAAAGGAAAACCUGGAUGUGUCCCUCCAUCUGGGUCUACUCUUGUUUUCUCCAGCUCUGAACCAAUAAACAGCACUGGCAUUUUGAACACUUUA